rnacentral:rRNA from 1 species
GGGGAAUAUUGCACAAUGGGGGAAACCCUGAUGCAGCGACGCCGCGUGAGUGAAGAAGUACUUCGGUAUGUAAAGCUCUAUCAGCAGGGAAGAAGAUGACGGUACCUGACUAAGAAGCCCCGGCUAACUACGUGCCAGCAGCCGCGGUAAUACGUAGGGGGCAAGCGUUAUCCGGAUUUACUGGGUGUAAAGGGAGCGUAGGUGGUGAGGCAAGUCAGAUGUGAAAACCCGGGGCUCAACCCCGGGACUGCAUUUGAAACUGUCUUGCUAGAGUGCAGGAGAGGUAAGUGGAAUUCCUAGUGUAGCGGUGAAAUGCGUAGAUAUUAGGAGGAACACCAGUGGCGAAGGCGGCUUACUGGACUGUAACUGACACUGAGGCUCGAAAGCGUGGGGAGCAAAC